rnacentral:rRNA from 1 species
GUGAGGAAUAUUGGUCAAUGGGCGGGAGCCUGAACCAGCCAAGUCGCGUGAGGGAUGACGGCCCUAUGGGUUGUAAACCUCUUUUGCCGGGGAGCAAAGUGCCGCACGUGUGCGGUUUGGAGAGUACCCGGAGAAAAAGCAUCGGCUAACUCCGUGCCAGCAGCCGCGGUAAUACGGAGGAUGCGAGCGUUAUCCGGAUUUAUUGGGUUUAAAGGGUGCGUAGGCGGACGCUUAAGUCAGCGGUAAAAUUGCGGGGCUCAACCUCGUCGAGCCGUUGAAACUGGGUGCCUUGAGUGGGCGAGAAGUACGCGGAAUGCGUGGUGUAGCGGUGAAAUGCAUAGAUAUCACGCAGAACUCCGAUUGCGAAGGCAGCGUACCGGCGCCCUACUGACGCUGAAGCACGAAGGCGUGGGUAUCGAACAGGAUUAGAAACCCUAGUAGUCC